CAGCAGCCGCGGUAAUACGAAGGGGGCUAGCGUUGCUCGGAAUGACUGGGCGUAAAGGGCGCGUAGGCGGCGAACCAAGUUAGAUGUGAAAUUCCUGGGCUCAACCUGGGGACUGCAUUUGAUACUGGUUUGCUAGAGUUCGGAAGAGGGUAGUGGAAUUUCCAGUGUAGAGGUGAAAUUCGUAGAUAUUGGAAAGAACACCGGUGGCGAAGGCGGCUACCUGGUCCGACACUGACGCUGAGGCGCGAAAGCGUGGGGAGCAAACAGGAUUAGAUACCCCCGUAGUCCCUGUCUCUUAUAC
rnacentral:rRNA from 1 species